GAUAGUUCCCCAUCGCCGCCCACAAUCUCCCCGUUCCCCAUUCUAUCCUCCUCAGCCGGCGCUCCCUUGGCAGGCCGCCCCCUCCCCUUCGUCACCACCGCCGGUGCUCCUGGUCAGGCCGUCCCUCCCCUUCCUCACCAGCGCUGACGCUGCCUGGCAGGCCGCCCCUCCCAUUCGAAUCAGGUCGCGGAAGUGGCCGAUGUGGCCCUCGAGCUCGGCAUGCUCGCGCCAGCGCUUGACGCCGUUGGAUGCGGACGCGGAGGCGCGGGACUCGCAGGCCCUACUCUACCCCGCUCCUUCGAAUCUGCCCCACAAGUGCUCGAGGAGGCGCUCGAGCUCGGCAUGCUCGCCGAAGACGCCGGGCCCUCCAUCCUCCUGAUGCCCUCGCCGUCGCCGCCAUGAACAUCUCCACCAUCUCCGGCGCAAUCGUCCGGGUCCAGAUUUCCCAAAGGAGAAGGAGGAGGUGCCGAAAGAGGAUGGGAGCAACAAGUCUGAAUCGAAGAAAUCAAUUUUCUUCACCCCACGGGAGAAGUUAGAAGAUGUAUUCUUGGGAGUUCCCAGCGACUUUGAUGUAUGUUGGAACAGUUUUGCCAUGUAGCAGCACACUUUUAAGGUCAAGAUCCCCACAAGAUCAAAAUGGUAGAAGGUCUGGCGUGCUGGCGCUGCUUUUGAGCGUGGCACAGAUGGGCUGGAUCCUCGGCCACAUCGCCCUCAUCGUCUGCGCCUACAUCACCUACUACACCCCGUCCUCCUCUCCUACUGCUACCGCUGGCCGGAACCCGUCCACGGCAAACGGAACUACACUUGUACAUGGACGCCGUCCGCUCCUGUCUUGGGCCUAGAGAUGUAGCUAUAUAUGUGUGGCAUUGCACAGUACAAGAUUCUCUAUGCAUCACAGUUGCCACGGGCAUCAUGUCCGUGGUGCCCAGCAACUGCCGCCAUUAAAAGGGCCACGACGCAAACUGCAGCCAGAUGGGACGAUGUGCCUGGUGCUGUGCGGCCUCGCCAAGGUCAUCCUCUCGCAGUUGCUGGGCCUGGAGAUCUGUUACCUUCGUCUCCAUAAUCGCCGCCGUCAUGUCCUUCACCUACUCCUUCAUCGCCCUCUUCCGGGGUGCCGCGACCUGCGCGUAAGGAGAGGCCAGUGGAGCCGUGCGUUGGUCGGCGGCCAAACGAAGGAGCGGCAGGCGGUGACCUAUGUGUAAGGAGAGGCCGGCCAGCAGAGGCGGGUGCGGAGGCCAACGCGGAUCGGUGGCGACGACGGGCCGCUGUCUUUUUUUUUUUGCGAAAGACGGGCCGCCGUCUGACCCUCCGCCACCGCCGCCUCUCGCCUUGCCUCUUUUCGUCGUCGGCUUGUCGCCACGGGCGCGCAGAGGCAGGCGGCAUGGGUCGCGGGGUAGUUGUUUUGAGCGAGCACGAGCAACGCAGCUCACAAAUUAAGGGGAUCUGAUUGCGAUCAAUUUCCUAUUCUCAUGCCCGAUUGCGGACGUGGGAUGGGCGGGGCCAGCGGAAAUUGCUAAGCGCACAGUUGGCUAACCAUAGGGUAAUUUGGAUGGCUAGAUGAAAUUAAGUGAUUUUGAUCGUGAGGCUGUAAUUGGUCAAAGAUAUUGUGUGUAGGUCUGGUUAGGUGUGUUUAGUGAUGAAUAUGUUUGCUUGUUUAAUACUAGUAGUAGAAAAGAGGACACUCGAAGAAUCGAAAUACCACCGAUCAACUAAA